rnacentral:rRNA from 1 species
UACGUAGGAGGCAAGCGUUGUCCGGAAUUACUGGGCGUAAAGCGCGUGUAGGUGGUGGGACAAGUCUGCUGUGAAAGCGCCUGGCUUAACCGGGCGAGGUCGGCGGAAACUGUCCGACUAGAGGACGGUAGAGGGGGGUGGAAUUCCCGGUGUAGUGGUGGAAUGCGUAGAGAUCCGGAAGAACACCGGUGGCGAAGGCGGCCUGCUGGGACAGUGCUGACGCUGAGGCGCGACAGCGUGGGGAGCAAACAGG